rnacentral:tRNA from 1 species
GAGAGCGUAGCUCAGUUGGUAGAGCAACUGACUUUUAAUCAGUAGGUCCAGGGUUCGAACCCCUGCGCUCUCA